ACACGCGCACACAAAUAUACAGGCACACACAUAUGUAUAUGUAUAUAUGAAUAUGUAUACCUAACUGUGAUAUGUGACCAGCUGUUCGCUGUUACUUUUAACAGCGACUAGCCGCAACAGAGGCAUAUGGUAUUUUAUUUAACCCAUUGAUGACAUGGAUACAAUUUGAAUUUUGUUGUUGAAUUUUUUCAACAUUUUGCCUUGCAGUUCAACGACAUUUGAAGCGGGUCGCGUAAAACGUUCAUAAAUACGCAUACGUUAUAUAAUUAUUUUUAAUAGCAGCAAAAACACAAUAAUGCAUGUGAAAUAAAAAAUCAUUAUUAUUACAUAUACUAAGCUUUAUAGGCAUUUGAUUCGUAUACCCUGUUCGCCUGGACUAAUGUGCAAUAGAAUUUAGGGUAUUUAUGGAAUUUUUAAAUUGAUUUCCAUACUCUGUUGAUUGUGAGAGAUGUCAUAUUGCCUACACAGUCUAGUAUACCCUGCGGUUGUUCAGGGUAUUCAAAUAUCCAGGUCGGUGUCGGCGACAGUAUCGCAUUGUUGCCAACUAGCAGGCAACAACCAGCACACACACAACAUACAUAAUAAACUACAACUUUUCGUACGACUUUUAUGAUUUUUUGUAUUUUUUCAUAGCAUUGUGGGGUUGGAAUAACCUAAAUUUUGCGCUAUCCCAGCAGCAACUACAACAAGUAGAGUAGAAUAGUAACUGUAAGUGUAACGUGGUGUAGGCCGGGCAAUAACAGAGUUGCCACCUGUCCCACACAGACCGCAGCACAAGGCAAAAGUUGCGUGCGGCAGCCGGAAAGUGGCUUCAAUAAUCAGGCUGAAAUGCUGAUGAAAACUCAACAAAAGAAGGCGCGGGGGUAAGCGGGCCGAAAGCGAAGCAAGUAGGCUGGCAGACCAACAAAGUGAGUAGCAGCUGUGGCACAUAAAAACAAGGACAAAUUGCGGAUUUAGCAAAAAAAAAAAAUGUGAAUGUAAAAAAGAAAUAAAAAGAAAACACACGACUCGCAGACGGACAGCGGAACGAUGGAAAGGCGAACGUUGGCAUGAUGGAACGAGAGAAACGAAACGAACCAAGUGACCCAUCAAACAUUAUGCGCCAAUGACGUCAUUAAGCUGUUAGCGGCUGUCAAUGUCGCUGUCUCUCUCUUUUUCUCACUCUAGCAUACUCAAUCCUCUCUCCUCCCACUCUUGCUCGCUCUUUUGAAACGUCUGAUAAUUUGUGUGGGUGCAUGGGGAAAUAGCAGCAGAAACAACAUGCUAAAGGCCAUAAGAUGUUGAUGUUUAAUCAAAACAUAAGGAACAGAUGAUGAUGCUAUGUGGCCAGAGAGAGAUAGAUAUAAACAUGCAUGCAUACACAUAUUUAUGUACAUAUACGAAGAGAGACGAGGUCUAAGUGCGUUCGUCUGUUGCAAUCGCUAGAGUUUAAGCAAACUGCAUUAAACGGAAAUCAAUGUGUUGAUAAGUGGAAAUUGAAUGACUACUUGCACAGCUAGUGGGUGGUAUCUAAGGAAAAGCGAAUUUGGAAAACACCUUGGCAAGAUUAAUAACAAAACUAAAUCAUCGGCAUCGGCGUCGGAGACGUCAGCAGCAGUAGAUGAAGCAGAAGAAGAAGAGGAAGAUGACGAAAAACCAAUAGUGUGAAAUUUUCAUCUAAUUAAAUUAGAUGCCAGUCAUGCUUGAAGCGCAAAGCUCAAUGGGCGCGAGCAGGACGGGACGACACACAAACCGAGGAGGCGUUGGGAGAAAAAGGUGCAUAGUGAAGAGACAGUCAAACAAAUCGAUGGGAUUUAACGACCAGCCAACAAAACAGUAGCCCACACACUCACACAUGCACACACAUACAGCUGUGAGCAUGCUGAGGCUAGGCGCAGCAAUAAUGCCCAAAGUCCAGCCACGCAGGCUUCGCGAAUGUGACUCAUGGAAACUGAUAUCGCGAGCCCUUGGAGAGACUGUAAAUGACAUUCAAGUUUGUCACAGCUGAAAAUACUUAAUAAUCGAAUGCCUAUUCAAAUUCUGAAACUACGCGAGUAAAUAACCUCAUUGCAAAUAGUAAAUUAAAAUAUUCUUGCAUAAAGAGCCAAGAUAUUCAUCUAAUUUCUGUCUUCUUAAUCAAAUAACAAACAAGCAAGUCCUUAUCUAUAAAAAAAAAAAUGGGAAAUACCUCAGUUUAAAAAAAAUAGACUUUAUAUAAGAGAAAAAUAUUAAAGGAAGAAUAAAUCAACGACGAAAACAAAAUUACAUCUCUAGCCGGCACACCAGGAAUGAUCUUAGACGUCUCCACUUUCUAUAGCAGCGGGACCGUCUCUUAACAUACGAAUGUAUUAAAAAUCAACUCAAACUUUACCUGUAAUACUCGUUCCCCAACGAUUCAAUUUUGUUCUUUUAUAAAAUUUACUAUAUGUUCAUUAUAAACUAUUUUUUUAAA